GCAGCCCACAGCACAGUAUGUACCUCGAUCUCCUCUCCCCUCUCGGCAGGGCUUGCAACAUGAGCAUCCCUGAGUACGUGCAGUGUGCUGAGGACUAUGGGACUCUUCCCGUGGUGGUCCAACCCAUGGGGAUCAUCUCAAAGGAGAAUUUCUUUUGCAUCUAUAAGCGAAUCUCCUUGGUGAGCCAGAUCAGCCCGUGCGUCUCCCAGUGGGCACUCUGUAUCCACUACAGGCACCACUAUGCACCUGAGAAUGGGUGGAGCGACUUUCAGACCCACCGCAAGGUAGUGGGCCCCGUCACCAGUACCUACUGCCUCUCAGCCAAGGCCUUCGAGAAGCUCCACGUGCAGAGGAGCUGUAUGGCACCAUGCUUAAUGACACUCAGCUAUUUGUCUUUGUGCUGUAUGGGGAGGUAGACGAGCAGUCGCUCACCAACGUGGCCUUCAAUCUACGAGGACUGCAGGGUGGUGGAGAAGAGGAUCGACGACUUCACUGAAUCACUCUUCAUCUUGCCCAAGUCCAAGUAGCUGGAUGGGGCCCUCGACAAGUCUGGGGACAAGAUCACCCUCCUCUGCAUCCCGUUUGAGAAGGAGGAUGUCAUGGGACUGGACACAGACAGCAGUGCCCAGUGAGCAUGUUGUUGCUUCUGAAAAUGUGGGCUGUGCACACCC